AUUACAAAAAUCUUAAAACAUCCCAGAGAAUCCAAUGAUUUCUGAGGAGUUUAACUUAUUACAACAAUCUUAUCAUAUCUCAGAGAAUCCAAUGAUUGCUGAGGGGAUUCAAUUAUUACAACAAUCUUAUUAUAUCUCAGAGAAUCCAAUGAUUCUUGAGGAGUUUAGGGUAUUACAGCAAUCUCAUUAUAUUCUCAGAAUCCAGAUUCCUGAAGUUUGUAAUUAUUAUAACAAUCUUAUCAUAUCUCAGAGAAUCCAAUGAUUUCUGAGGAGUUUAACUUAUUACAACAAUCUUAUCAUGUCUCAGAGAAUCCAAUGAUUCCUGAGGAGUUUAACAUAUUACAACAAUCUUAUCAUAUCUCAGAGAAUCCAAUGAUUCCUGAGGGGUUUCAAUUAUUACAACAAUCUUAUCAUAUCUCAGAGAAUCCAAUGAUUCCUGAUGAGUUUAACGUAUUACAACAAUCUUAUCAUGUCUCAGAGAAUCCAAUGAUUCCUGAGGAGUUUAACGUAUUACAACAAUCUUAUCAAGUCUCAGAGAAUCAAUAGUUCCUGAGGGAUUUAAAUGAUACAACAAUUUCAUCAUGUCUCAGAGAAUCCAAUGAUUCCUGAGGGUUUUCAAAUAUUACAACAACCUUAUCAUAUCUCAGAGAAUCCAAUGAUUCCUGAGGAGUUUAACGUAUUACAACAAUCUUAUCAUGUCUCAGAGAAUCCAAUGAUUCCUGAGGAGUUUCACGUAUUACAACAAUCUUAUCAUAUCUCAGAGAAUCCAAUGAUUCCUGAGGGGUUGUAAUUAUUAUAACAACCUUAUGAUAUCUCAGA
ensembl:lncRNA